AAUUCCAGUCUCCGAGAACAAUACCCAGCCUUAUACACCAUUGCUCGCGAUAAAAAUAAUACUAUUGCGCACGUGCUCAGUUCGUCUCCACCGAAUAUUUCGUUCAGGCGGGACUUGAUUGGCCCCCGACUUAUGUCAUGGCAUAAUCUUUUAUCCCGACUGGAUUCGAUUGACCUGACACAAGGCAGGGAUGUUUUUCGCUGGAACCUUACUACAUCGGGGUCUUUCACAGUAAACUCUAUAUAUCGUGAGCUAAUGCAUUCUGAGGUACCAGUGAGUAAUAACAAGAAAAUUUGGAAGUCGAAGAUUCCACUAAAAGUUAAAAUCUUCAUGUGGUACCUUCGUAGGGGAGUUGUGCUAACCAAAGACAACCAUGCACGAUGCAACUGGCCAGGAAGUAAGCAGUGUUGCUUUUAUGCUCAUGAAGAGACAAUCAAGCACCUCUUUUUCCAAUGCAAGUUUGCACGUUCUACAUGGUCAGUCAUUCAAAUAGCAUCAAAUUUGUAUCCGCCCACAAGUGUUGCCAAUAUAUUUGGUCAUUGGUUGGACGGUAUUUCAAAUAAGUUCAAAACGCUAAUAAGGGUGGGAGCGUAUGCCUUAUUUUGGUUGCUUUGGCUAUGUAGAAAUGAUUUCAUUUUUAAGGACAAAAAUGCUUCUCCUCUAUAG
rnacentral:rRNA from 1 species